AUUUAAGAGGAAAAAUUUGAACUGAUUGCAACCUCUUUGUUGAAAGUAACGAAAGUGAACCUCAACAUAACAAAAUGCUAAAGCAGUAACU
rnacentral:ncRNA from 1 species